UACGAAGGGGGCUAGCGUUGCUCGGAAUCACUGGGCGUAAAGCGCACGUAGGCGGAUCUUUAAGUCAGGGGUGAAAUCCCAAGGCUCAACCUUGGAACUGCCUUUGAUACAGCAUGUCUUGAGUCCGAUAGAGGUGGGUGGAAUUCCUAGUGUAGAGGUGAAAAUUCGUAGAUAUUAGGAAGAACACCGGUGGCGAAGGCGGCCCACUGGAUCGGUACUGACGCUGA
rnacentral:rRNA from 1 species